rnacentral:ncRNA from 2 species
UCGUCCGGUCGCGACUGGCGCCAGCAGGUGGGUCACCACCGGGGAGCGGCACGAGCAGGAACCCCCGAGGUCGUCCGCCUGGGCCGAGGGU